rnacentral:lncRNA from 1 species
CCUCUUCUCAGUGUUUGAGAUCCCUCAUCUUGCUCCGACUGUUGCAGCCUUUUCUCGCCAUGACAGACUGCCAUACUACAUGGCCUUCUCCCAUCGAAAGGGUCUAGCAUGUGGACCACUGAACUGCCAAGGAAGCAGUCCAACUGCCCUGAGGCUGCCAUGCUGUGAGGAAACCCAAAGUGGUCCAUAAAGAAGGAUUAUGUGGAGGGACCCUGAAAGAUGCCUGGCCUGCCUCCCACUGCUCCAGUACCCUCCUCCCCAACUCUUCCAGCUUCAGCCACUGUCUGCAACCACAUGAGAGCUCCCGAGCCAUAAAUGCCCAGCCUAGUCUCCC